rnacentral:rRNA from 1 species
UACAGAGGUCUCGAGCGUUAGGCGGAAUCACUGGGCUUAAAGCGUGUGUAGGUGGAUGCCUAAGUACCUUGUGAAAUCCCACAGCUUAACUGUGGAACUGCUUGGUAUACUGGGUGUCUUGAGUCACUCAGGGGCGAGCGGAACAAAUGGUGGAGCGGUGAAAUGCGUAGAUAUCAUUUAGAACGCCAAUGGUGAAAACAGCUCGCUGGGGGUGUACUGACACUGAGACACGAAAGCCAGGGGAGCGAACGGG